CAGUCGCCACGGUAAUACAGAGGAUGCAAGCGUUAUCCGGAAUGAUUGGGCGUAAAGCGUCUGUAGGGGGCUUUUCAAGUCCGCCGUCAAAUCCCAGGGCUCAACCCUGGACAGGCGGUGGAAACUACCAAGCUGGAGUGCGGUAGGGGCAGAGGGAAUUUCCGGUGGAGCGGUGAAAUGCGUUGAGAUCGAAAAGAACACCAACGGCGAAAGCACUCUGCUGGGCCGACACUGACACUGAGAGACGAAAGCUAGGGGAGCAAAUGGGAUUAGAUACCCGCGUAGUCCCUGUCUCUUAUAA
rnacentral:rRNA from 1 species